ACCGUCAAAACAUGCAGAAGGUGUUGCGAAGGUGCUUUUCAAGUCAUUCUUGUGUUUUGGUUUCGCAAGGGUUUUGAUCUCCGAUCAAGGGCGGGAAUUCAACAACGAGAUUGUGAAGGGCAUAGUGGCUGCUUUAGAAAUGUCGCACCACCGAACCACGGCUUACCACCCUCAGUCGAAUGGAUUAACUGAACGUUUCAAUCAGACAUUGGAAGCAAUGCUACUAAAGAUGGAGCCAGGUGAUGACUGGGAGAACCAAUUGCCUCAAGUCGUGUUCGCG